rnacentral:lncRNA from 1 species
AGAGCAUGAGGCUCUUGAUCUCAGGGUUGUGAUUUCAAGCCCCACGUUGAGUGUAGAGUUUUGUUUUGUUUUUUUAUUCUGUGUGUGUGUGUGUGUGUGUGUGUUUAGAGUUUAUUUAAAUAAACUUUUAAAAAAGGAGCGGGGGUUCCCAAAGACAUGCCAGAGAUUUGUGGAGUCGUUGCAAGCUCCGUAUCAGGUAGGCUCCAAGGAUACGCUAUGGGUUCAUGAGUCACGAGGUUAAAACCAUCUAGAGCCAGUGUGUAGAACAGGAUAAGACACGACGGCCUUGCUCUUGUGUACUGUGGCAAUCAGGCAGGGGCGGCAGGGUAAAGCUCUUAGGAGGAAUGCUUCCUGACGAGGGGCCCAGCCUAGUCCAUAAAAGCAUUUUCCACCUGAAAGGACCUGGAAGUACUUCAAUUCCUGACCCUAAUCAGGCUUUCUAGCCCCAUCAGCCUAGCUGCUGGCCGUGCCACCUCCGUACGUGCUACUGCUUCUACAGCUGCCAAUUUGGGCAGCCUGGCCCCCAAUCCUUAGUCCAGGACCUCUGUUCCCAUACCUGCCACACAGAUUCCCAGCCCUUGCCACCACCCCACCCCCAGCCUUACCUGCCAUUCAGUCCCUACCUUCCAGUCAACUGUUGCCUUUUGGAAACUUAAAACAGGCAGGAGGCAGUCCGGGCCUAGCCUCAAGCCUAACUCCACUGGUUUUAGUGGAAGCAAGAGCAAUAAAAGAAAGCUGUGAUCUAAGAAGCCAGACUCCUUCUCACCUCCCCUUAGUGAGGAGUCUAAGGUCUAUCCAACCUGGUAAGUAAGAGCCAGGAACCUAUAUCAUGAUUUGAAAUUAUUUUGACUCUUCUCCAACUGCACUCCUUUAUAUCCUAAUUAUACUGACUCUCCUGCUUCAGAUAAUUAAGAAGUGAGAUUUCCAUACUCAUAGCCCUUCUGGAAUCCUACCCAACUUCCCUUUACCACCCCCACUCCCAAACACACAUACACUCUGCUCUUGCCUCUCCCUCCACUACUUUUACAACCUGCAGGUGUUUGGUGGAAGAUAAAAGUGGUUCCUGGGGUGAGAUUUCACCUCCUAGAAUUAUCAAAGUAAAGGUUUCCCUUGAUGUGCUCUCUGUGGGUGGCAGUAAUUAUAAAGAAUGAUUUGAAAUACUGGUUUCUACAUUGCUUCAAAAAUCUGAAGUCUCUAAACUUUAUUUGAGUAAUCUUGCCUGAAUCUUAGAGCUCUUCUCAUUGAACUUGUGAAAGACUAGAUGAGCAUUCCUACCCUGGGGGAUCUCCACCUCCACCAGCCUUUUGGGAGCUCUAGAGCUCCACAUUCCUACCACUGGUCGAGGUUCCUGAAAGCUUGCCCUAAUCAGACAGGAGCUGAAAUGGCCCAGCAGAAGUGGUUGAAAGAGAUAGGACUGUGGGGGAGGCAGGAGUAAAGAACUGUGGCAGUGCCCCCGUUGGUCCUCUUCGGAAAUGAAAUGAAAUUUGUAGAGCCCAGGUGAUGCUGUAUGGAAGAAGACCUGCCCUCCGGAAUGUUGUUUGGCUGUGGCUGAAUCACUGCCUCUCCUCUGUCCCUGUGUUUCCACAUCUGUAAAAUGGGAAAGUUAGACUGGAUAACUUUUAAAGGCUCUUUCUCUUCUUGGGUCCUGUGCCCUCUCUCAGAGAUCUCUGACCCUUGGGAUCUGGAUGGCCCAAGAGGCCAGAAGGCUGCUUCUUUUCAACAAAAAGGGGAUGGAGCUGGAUAGGGUUGGGAGGAGGUAGGUGGGGGAAGAGGAGGCGAUGAUUAAACUAUCUCAGAGCCUUCCCAUUCCUCUUCCUGGUCUUCCCCACUGAGAGCCCUUGGAAUCCCUGACUGUAAGAGAAAGGAAAGACCUCUCCUCAGCCUUCCCUUUGCACAAGCGCAUGAGCAGCCCUUCUCCAAGGAGAGGAGGGAACUGGAGAAAACAGAACAAAGUGAGAGUUUCCCAGGGGAAGGCCUGGCUAUUUUUAAGUCCCAGCUGGGAUCAACCCCCAGCCCAGGACACUGCUCCAGGAUUGACUGGAUGCCCAAGAUGCUUUAAUUUCUCUUCUCUUUGGUCAGUUUGCCAGAAGGCAGGGACCAUUUUUGUUUCCUUUGGACAGCAGCUAGCUACAGAGAGUUUGAAUAUAUCUAAAAUAUAGUGAGCAACUGAAUUUCCACUGGCCAGCCACCUCUCCAUGGGACAGAAGUCAGAGAGUUGCCUGCCCUGCCUCUCCCAAUGAUGCUCCAUGAGGGAAGUGGAGGAGAAAAGGAAGGGGGCUUUUAGUGCCAAUGAGGGAGCACUCUGGGGAGGUGUUGAGCAACAACACCUGGGGUUCUGGGAGCUUGCCAGGUCAGACAAAAUUUGAUGUCUACUACUACAGGAACCCCUCCCUGAGUACACCUCACCCCCACCUGCUGGCAAGAGCUCCUGAGCCAGUAAAGGGACUGACUGCCAAAACUGCCCUCCAAGCUUUUUCCCAAGGCCAGAGGCUGAACUUCUUCCCAGCCCUUCACCACAUCACUCUUACUAUCCCACUCCAUUCACGGAGGUGAGGGGUGGGGGGUAGCAGAGGAUUGUCUAGCUGGAGCCUCAAGAGCAAUCUAGGGGCCUGCACAGCCUAGUUUAUAAACUGUUUCUAUUUCCAGAGGAUUGCAGAAAGCACACUUUCUUUAUCCACAGCCAUCCCUACCCCUAAGAAGGUAUAUAAGCCAGGCCUUUGUAUACUGCCUUCUAAAUAGUUAAAUAUGUCUGAGGAAUAGGGAGUGGGUGUGGGAAGGACCACCCAGACACAGGGUCUAGAAAACUUAGCUCUGAUGGAGCUCACAGGGAAGGAAAGAGUCUGGGCAGGAGAACGCAUUCUACUUGCAGCCAGGAAGACUUGUCCUUGACCUGAGCCGUCUGCCACCACCCAGAAGGACUGCAUCAGGGGUUUUCUGCUGUGGACAAAUGGGGAGAUUCUGUUUUGAUUCUCAGCCUCUCUCCUUGCCCCACCCUCAAGGUAAAAGGCCAUUUUCUGAUCUCUGGUUGUAGCCUCUGACACUAGAGACUCGACAGGUGCUAUUGCAGUCCCAGGCUUAGCCAUUAAACAUAAUGGAUGGCAGGGUGGGUGGGAGAGUUGGUGAUACCAAGGCUCCCUGCUACCCUCUUCUACAUCUCAGGGCUACUGACUCUGCCUGGCUCAGAUACCAGAAGCCAGCCCAAAGCAUUAGUGAGAACCCUGGGGAAAUGCCAAGGAAAGAAGGCCUGCCUUUGUUCCUCCCACAUGGACCAUACCCGGAAGCCAGGCUAGUUAUUUUCCAACAGUGUGUUUGUAUGUGUGUUUGACCUCACUUUUCCUGGUACUGUCCUUAGCCACAUAUAUUAUCUCAUUUAUCCUUAUGUCAAUGUCAUAGAUCAUGUGACUUGCCCAAACUCUCAUAAGCAAUACAUGAAAGAUCUAGACCUUGAACCAUGUGUCUCCUUUUCGAUUUGAUCAUCCUCCCACCUCUCCCAUCCAACCCUCUAACUUAAACCUCACUGAGUAUUCCAGGUCACAGUAGUUUCUCCUGUGGUCUCUGUGCCCCCCCGCCAGAUUAUGAACUUUGAAAAAGCAGGUACCCUACAAACCCAGAGCUUAGCAAGGAGCGGACACGUAACAGACCUUAAGGGAUAUUUGUCUCAAUCAGUAAUUAGAUUUACUCCUUGGUGAUAAUGAAUUAAUUACAUUGCUUUUCUCUUUUGUUAUUCUUUGGAGAACUACUCUGGUCUGAGCCCAAAACACAUUCCCAGACCCAGUGGAUGUGACACUGAACCAGGCUGUUCCACAGUGAAGCAGGCUGCUUAUAGAGAGAGAAGAGGAGCUUCUACUUCCCUUCCUGUUCCCUGGGGUCUGUGGCUUUAGCUCUCCCUGGCUGAGUUCAUCUCCACUCAGGAAAUCACUUUGUUGGGGAAAAGAAAGGUCAUCUUGGAGCUUGGAGCAGCCAGAGGGCACUAGGCCCUGCGUUGGAAUGGUUAGAACUGCAGACCAGUUUCUCCCACACUGGUCUUUGGCAAGAAAUUUUCCCAGCAGACCAGCCCUGCCCUAGAAGCAUCCACAGAAAUGCUGGACUUCACCACAGUUGUUAGCAAUGGUGGGCCUGUGGUAGAAGCAGAGUCCCAAGGCCCAGGCGAUUACAAAUCUUUCUCCAUGGACUUGAUGUCUUGCAGAGUCUGGUAAGAGGGAAUGAGGUCUCAAAAGUUACUUACAGCAGUCUGUCUGCGUGGAUAUCCAGCCAUACUCACCUGUAGCCCCAAGAGCAAUCCAGGGCCCUAUACAGCUAGUUUAGAGGCCAUUUCUAGACCCAGAGAAUUGCUGAGGGUACACUUUCUUUUUUUCUUUUCUUUUUUUUUUUUUUUUCUUUUUUUCUUUUCUUUUCGGCUUUAUUUUAUUUUGGCAGAGCACGAGCAGGGGGAGGGGCAGAGGGAGGAAGAAAGAGGGAUAAGCAGACUCCCUGCUCAGCAGGGAGCCUGCUGCCAGGCUCCAUCGGGGACUCUGGGAUCAUGACCUGAGCCGAGGCAGACAGCGAACCACCGAACCACCAAACCACCGAACCACCGAACCACCGAACCACUGAACCACCGCCUGAGCUACCCAGGCGCCCCGGAGAGUACACUUUCUUGGAUCCUCCGAUUCUAGGAUGCUGCUGGGGCGCACUUUGUUUAUCCAUGACAGGAUAACCGGGAAGACGAAAGUGCUAGGUAUAUAUGCUGCUUUUCUUUUUUUAUAUAUAUAUAUAAGAUUUUAAUUAUUAAUGAGAGGGCACCCCGGGUGCCUCAGCAGUUUAGUGCCGCCUUCAGACCAGGGCUGGUCCUGGGGACCUGGGAUCAAGUCCCACAUCGGGCUCCCUGCAUGGAGCCUGCUUCUCCCUCUGCCUGUGUCUCUGCCUCUCUCUCUCCCUGUGUCUCUCAUGAAUGAAUAAAUAAAUUUUAAAAAAUAAUAAUUUUAUUAAUGAGAGAUACAGAUCCGGGUCUCCAGGAUCACACCCUGGGCUGAAGGCGGAUGCCAAACCGCUGAGCCACCUGGGCGUCCCAAAUGUGCUGCUUUCAAUGUGUAGUUACUACUGGCCAACAGCCUCAUACAUGUGUUAUUUCCUCUAUAGGCUGGACGAGUGGACCAAUAGAUGUCACAAACCUGUUAGGUGUUAAUCCCCUCAGCGUAAAGUUUCCCUUUCCACAGGACUAAGGCUCUGAAAAUAAUGUUAAUUAAUAAAAUCUUUAUAAAAAAAAAAACGAAAAUAGGGCAGCCCCGGUGGCCCAGCGGUUCAGCGCCGCCUUGAGCCCAGACUAUGAUCCUGGAGCCCCUGGAUCGAGUCCCACAUCAGGCUUCCUAGGCGGAGCCUGCUUCUCCCUCUGCCUGUGUCUCUGCCUCUCUCUCUGUC